UAGAGAACAGUAGUCAAAGCUUACUUUAUUUACUCCAAUUGUCACCCUUUAUGAUGCCACAUAAGCAGAAUUCUGGUGUAGCGAGAGAGCAUGAGAGUUCAGCAAGUCUCAAAGUGAGUACAGAAGAGUAUUUGCAUCUAAAAAUGACAACAUAGAAACAAAGGGCCACCUCCCCUUCUGUUCUGCUGUUGGUGGUGAAGCCUGGAGCAAUCAGCUAAUGGCUCACAGCAUGAAGCAAGCAGCCUUAAUGUCCUCUCUUCCCUCCUCACACAUCCUAGAAGCAGUACUUCAAGAAGUGAUCAGCAUUGUGUCACAUUUCUAGUUUCACUAUUUCUGUUUUUCCAUGAGUAUUAAAUUUCAAAAAAAAGUACAUUUUCUUUUCCAAAGUUUGAAAUUAAAAGGAUUGCUUUGAGAUUAUAUUUAAUCUGAGUACACAUUUUUCUCAUACAAAGUGUCAAGUAUCAUGUAGGUCAAAGAGAAAAUAUUUGAUCAUCCAUUAGUAAUUUUUCUAGAAUGGUAGGCAUUA
rnacentral:lncRNA from 1 species